rnacentral:lncRNA from 1 species
GUUCAAUCAGUUGCUAAGUCUUGCAUUCUAUUCAUAUCUUCACAUUUAACUGUUAUUCCAUCUCCAUUACUGAUGAGGUCAUAUUGAGGGUGUCAUAUUGACUUGAUGGGUAUGAGGUACUGGCUAAGAAAUCUAUGAACCAGAAGGCUAUGAAGUGAACUAUGAUGAAUGAUGAAAGUCAAAAGAUAUAAUGUAGGUGCUGCCAGGGAGGGCCCAGUUGAAGCAAGAUGAUAUGAAUUUGCAUGUUCACGGUUAAUAUGAUCGUGGGACUUCCUCCAAAGGUGUUGACCAGCAGAAAAAACCAUAACCAAGUUCAUUUGGAAGAACAAAAGAUCAAGGAUAUCCAUGGAAAUCAUGAAAAAAAAAAUGUGAAGGAAGGAGGCCUUGCAGUCCGAGAUCUCAAAUUAUACUAUAAAGCAGUGGUUAUCAAAACAAUUUGCUACUGGCUAAGAGACAGAAAGGAAGAUCAGUGGAAUAUACUUGGGAUUUCUUGAAGAUGAAGAUGAAGCCUGUCCAACCACUUUCAUAUACAGGCAUACUUCAGAGAUAUUGACGGUUCAGUUUCAGAUACCUGAAAAUGGCAAACAUUGCAGUAAAGAGCUGAUUUCUGUGGAACAGCCAUUUUUGAAGAAGGCUGAAUGGGGGAAGUGGUUCUGAAAUCUCUUUUUCCAUAACUUCCAGCAGCAGCUAGUAGGUACUCAAUCAACAUUUGAAUAAAUAAACUUUAAAUAAAUAUUGAACCUUAGUU